UCAAACACACUUCUUCAUAUUCAAAUCCGUCGGUUACUCUUCACAAUCUUCUUCAGUUUCCCGCUACUCUCUCUAAAAAAAAAAAAAUUCUCUAUAUCUUAAGCCCUAACUUCACUGAAAAAGGGUCAGUCACAUUCAAUUAUAAUGCCCUGCUUCUCUCUUUCUCUCUCUACAAUUUAGUUUAAGGAUAUUCUUUGGCCGCAAUAUCAUGAUACACGUUAAAGAGGAAGCUCCAACUCUGGACAUUGGUGGAUUCAUUUCAUGUUCAUCUUUCUCUGAUAGCAGUUAUGAGGCUAGCACUCCGAGAUGCUCCUCCGAGCCUGGUUCCAGUUGUCGAAGGAGCUCAGGUCCAACUAAACGUUCUUCUCAGGCAGGCUGGACAGAAGAAGAGGACAAUCUGUUGACUGAAGUGGUGAAAAGGUUCAAAGGAAGAAACUGGAAAAGAAUUGCCGGGUGCUUGAAUGGAAGGACUGAUGUGCAGUGCUUGCAUCGCUGGCAGAAGGUUCUGAAUCCUGAGCUUGUAAAGGGUCCGUGGACAAAGGAGGAGGAUGACCUGAUUAAUGAGUUAGUUGAGAAAUAUGGCUGUAAGAAGUGGUCCGUUAUUGCAAAGUCUUUGCCUGGUCGCAUUGGCAAGCAAUGUCGGGAAAGGUGGCACAACCAUCUUGAUCCAACAAUAAAAAGAGAUGCCUGGACUGAACAGGAGGAAUCGGUCCUAUGCCACUAUCACCAAAUAUAUGGGAACAAGUGGGCUAAAAUUGCGAGGUUUCUGCCCGGAAGGACUGAUAAUGCAAUUAAAAAUCAUUGGAAUUCCACAGUGAAGAAAAGAUCGAACUUGAAUUUACCAAGUAGGUUAGUGCUGGAUAACCAAAGUGAGGGAUCUUCGGAUUUCUCAACUCACAAGAAAAACCUGGAGAUCAAGAAGCAUCCAGCACAGGCUCAUAAUGCAGAAACAGUCUUUUUGAGCGAGCAGACAGGAGUAGCUAAUGCUGCUGAUGCUUGCUCAACUGAUCUGAGAAUUGGAUAUGCUAAUUCUCCUCAAAAUGUUUUGCAUAAGGGUACUACUUUAUUUGGAGCCUGUAAAUCACCAGAACAGAAUGCGAGGGAUCUGAUAAAGCCACUUGGUGGAAUACAAUUUGGCAAGGUAGCAAUUCUUCCAAUUGGUGAGACAGAUAAACAAUGCCAAUCCACUUUAAAUUUCACUAAAAUAUCAUAUCCACCCUUGGCCUCUUCUUUAGAUUUCCCUUUGGAUCCGUCACACAACAUUAGAUGGAGUAGUUCUCAAGUUGAGGCUGUUUGUCCUACUUCUUUUGGGAGAAUGUAUGAAUCUCCCAAAAGGUCUAGGUACGAUUCUGUUAAUGAUCCUGACCAUGAUUUUUUGAGUUUGUCAUUGGCUGACUUCACCAAGGUUUCCCAAGGUAACAAGAAGAAUAAAGCAUAUGAUACACAAUCUUCUUUGGCUCUCAAGCAGCCCGGCCGCUUAUAUUAUGAACCUCCAAAAGUAAAGGACUUGAUGAUUCCUUUAAUGGAUGAAAACCUUAGUAGAGACAACCUUAUCGGGCAACAUAAUGGGCAUCCACUUUGCUCUACCCCUCCUAGUCUUAAGCUAACAGUCUCUGCUAAUGGUAGCAGUCCAGAAUCUGUGCUAAGGAACUCUGCAAUGAGCUACACAAAAACUCCUUCAAUCAUAAGAAAGAAGAUUUCAAGAUUUACAGAAUCUUCUGGACAUUAUAGUAGCACAGGCACUACCACGCCUAUGCAUUUUCUCCCGAGUGCUCCUGACAAGGAAGACGCCUCAAGCCUGAAUGACAGGAUUUCUGGAUAUAAAAGAUCAGUUUCAGGAAAAUCUCUUGGAAGACGGUUGGAAUAUGCCUUUGAUAUGGAAUGGGAUUCCUCUAGAUGUUGCACACCAGUUUCUGCAGCUCCACCUUGUGGACUUACUCUUGGUGCUAAUACAAUGUUGACACCAUAAAAACAGAGGAGUAGUACAUUUUUGAGCGGCUACACUUCCGGAUUCGCAGGAUACAGACAUUGACAUUUUUUUACAUAGCAAGGAAUGAGCUAUAGAGGAUUUGUCUGGAGAAGCAUUUGUUGUAGAUUACAAGCAGAGUCAGUCAAAUCAUACUAAAUGAUGGAUCAAUCAGAGAAUUCUCAACGCAUGUCAAUUAUCGAGGUAACAAAAACCAGUGAAGCAAUGACAUGCUGAGACACUUGACGGAAUUAAGACCAUGUUGAAGCUGAAUAAUUAGUUGGAGAUGGAAGCUUAAUGAGAAAAUUUCGCGAAAGGUAUAAAUAUAUGACAAACAUAUAAACUUAUUGGGGCAAUUCUUGUUUUCGGAGUUGCAAAAUUCUGUAUGGAUGUACUUUGAAAAACUCCUGUCCUAUUCCAGAAGUCUAGCGGAAGAAGAGGAUUGUUUGUAAAUAUGCAUUUAAAUCAAUUGCCUGCAGUUUUGUGGCAUUUUACAUUGUUGCAAAGAUGUGUUCCUA